rnacentral:rRNA from 1 species
CAGCCGCCACGGUAACACGUAGGGUGCAAGCGUUAAUCGGAAUUACUGGGCGUAAAGCGUGCGCAGGCGGUUAUAUAAGACAGAUGUGAAAUCCCCGGGCUCAACCUGGGAACUGCAUUUGUGACUGUAUAGCUAGAGUACGGCAGAGGGGGAUGGAAUUCCGCGUGUAGCAGUGAAAUGCGUAGAUAUGCGGAGGAACACCGAUGGGGAAGGCAAUCCCCUGGGCCUGUACUGACGCUCAUGCACGAAAGCGUGGGGAGCAAACAGGAUUAGAUACCCCUGUAGUCCCUGUCUCUUAUAC